GGAUGAAGAACGUAGCGAAAUGCGAUAAGUAGUGUGAAUUGCAGAAUUCAGUGAAUCAUCGAAUCUUUGAACGCACAUUGCGCCCUUUGGUAUUCCUUAGGGCAUGCCUGUCCGAGCGUCGUUUCGCAGAAUCGAGCCCAGCUCGGUGAUGGGCGCACUGUCCGGCUCCCCCGCAACGGGGAGCGGACUCGCCUCAAAGACAUUGGCGACCGGUUCCGCGGGCCCUCGAGCGCAGCAGACACGCGACUCUCGGGGCGUCCCGACGGCCGGGCAACCAGAAGCGAACGACCGUUUACCAGCUCGACCUCGGAUCAGGUAGGGAUACCCGCUGAACUUAAGCAUAUCAAUAAGCGGAGGA
rnacentral:misc_RNA from 1 species